rnacentral:rRNA from 1 species
GACGAACGCUGGCGGCGUGCCUAAUACAUGCAAGUAGAACGCUGAAGAGAGGAGCUUGCUCUUCUUGGAUGAGUUGCGAACGGGUGAGUAACGCGUAGGUAACCUGCCUUGUAGCGGGGGAUAACUAUUGGAAACGAUAGCUAAUACCGUAUAACAAUGAAUGACUCAUGUCAUUUAUUUGAAAGGGGCAAUUGCUCCACUACAAGAUGGACCUGCGUUGUAUUAGCUAGUAGGUGAGGUAACGGCUCACCUAGGCGACGAUACAUAGCCGACCUGAGAGGGUGAUCGGCCACACUGGGACUGAGACACGGCCCAGACUCCUACGGGAGGCAGCAGUAGGGAAUCUUCGGCAAUGGGGGCAACCCUGACCGAGCAACGCCGCGUGAGUGAAGAAGGUUUUCGGAUCGUAAAGCUCUGUUGUAAGUCAAGAACGAGUGUGAGAGUGGAAAGUUCACACUGUGACGGUAGCUUACCAGAAAGGGACGGCUAACUACGUGCCAGCAGCCGCGGUAAUACGUAGGUCCCGAGCGUUGUCCGGAUUUAUUGGGCGUAAAGCGAGCGCAGGCGGUUUGAUAAGUCUGAAGUUAAAGGCUGUGGCUCAACCAUAGUUCGCUUUGGAAACUGUCAAACUUGAGUGCAGAAGGGGAGAGUGGAAUUCCAUGUGUAGCGGUGAAAUGCGUAGAUAUAUGGAGGAACACCGGUGGCGAAAGCGGCUCUCUGGUCUGUAACUGACGCUGAGGCUCGAAAGCGUGGGGAGCGAACAGGAUUAGAUACCCUGGUAGUCCACGCCGUAAACGAUGAGUGCUAGGUGUUGGAUCCUUUCCGGGAUUCAGUGCCGCAGCUAACGCAUUAAGCACUCCGCCUGGGGAGUACGACCGCAAGGUUGAAACUCAAAGGAAUUGACGGGGGCCCGCACAAGCGGUGGAGCAUGUGGUUUAAUUCGAAGCAACGCGAAGAACCUUACCAGGUCUUGACAUCCCGAUGCUAUUUCUAGAGAUAGAAAGUUACUUCGGUACAUCGGUGACAGGUGGUGCAUGGUUGUCGUCAGCUCGUGUCGUGAGAUGUUGGGUUAAGUCCCGCAACGAGCGCAACCCCUAUUGUUAGUUGCCAUCAUUCAGUUGGGCACUCUAGCGAGACUGCCGGUAAUAAACCGGAGGAAGGUGGGGAUGACGUCAAAUCAUCAUGCCCCUUAUGACCUGGGCUACACACGUGCUACAAUGGUUGGUACAACGAGUUGCGAGUCGGUGACGGCAAGCUAAUCUCUUAAAGCCAAUCUCAGUUCGGAUUGUAGGCUGCAACUCGCCUACAUGAAGUCGGAAUCGCUAGUAAUCGCGGAUCAGCACGCCGCGGUGAAUACGUUCCCGGGCCU